AAAAAAACAGUUGACCAAAGCUAAACAUUUCAGGCUGCUGUAUUGGGUGGCAACAGUCUAAUGACCAAUUAUCCUUAGUUUGACUUUUUCAGUCUUAUUUACUUACUUAUUUGUUUAGAUUUUUAGAAGUGUGCCAUUGCAUACCGGCAUGUGCACAAUAGCAACCUUUCGCUUGUCAACAAAACAGGAAGUAGGCCAAGGUUUAUUGAGGACCGUGUUGAUUUAGCAUCAUAUGCUAAAGUCCAGAGAAAGCUCGUGGUUCAAAAAAAGAACACCGGGGAGGAGACAGCUGUGAAACAUCAGUGAGUGACCGACAUGAGCGGGAAGCAAGACGUCAGUUUUGACCCAAAAGAGCACCAGCACUUGCGUUACAACCCUCUUAGGGACAGCUGGGUUCUUGUGUCCGCCCACCGCAUGAAGAGACCUUGGGCAGGUCAAGUUGAAAGACCACCUGAGGAGCACAUACCAAGAUAUGACCCAAAUAACCCACUCUGUCCUGGGAACAAAAGGGCAAAUGGAGAGGGGAAUCCAGAUUAUGACAGUACCUUUGUGUUUGAGAAUGACUUCCCCGCUCUUCAGCCUGACGCUCCAGACCCUGGUUCAGAACAAGAUCCAUUAUUUCAGUCUAAAGCUGCAAGGGGUGUCUGUAAGGUCAUGUGUUUCCAUCCCUGGUCGGACGUCACGCUCCCUCUCAUGAAAAAAGAAGAGGUUGUCAAGGUGAUAGACAAGUGGGCGGAGCUUGUUGAGGAACUAGGCACUAUUUACCCAUGGGUUCAGAUCUUCGAGAAUAAGGGUGCUAUGAUGGGUUGUUCGAAUCCACAUCCUCACUGCCAGGUGUGGGCCAGCAACUUUCUUCCUAAUGAGCCGGCCCUGUCAGACCGCUGUCAGAGAGCAUACUAUCAGAAACACGGAGAGCCAAUGCUGCUGCAAUAUGCCAAACGGGAGGCUGAGAAAAAGGAACGUGUUGUGGUGGAGAGUUCUGAUUGGCUGGCAGUGGUUCCAUAUUGGGCAACUUGGCCCUAUCAGACAUUGUUGUUACCAAGACGACACGUCCUCCGAAUGAGUGACUUGACAACAGAGGAAAGAGAGGGUCUGGCUGCCAUUAUGAAGCGACUACUGACCAAGUAUGACAAUCUGUUCGAAGUGUCUUUUCCUUACUCCAUGGGCUGGCAUGCAACCGAAGUGCAUGCUCUAUUGGUUGAGAUCAGGAGCGCCUACUGGCCCAUAUUUAAAAGAAGAUAACUCCCACUGGCAGCUUCAUGCUCACUACUACCCACCUCUGCUGCGUUCAGCAACAGUUAAGAAGUUUAUGGUGGGUUAUGAGAUGCUCGCCCAGGAGCAAAGAGAUCUCACCCCUGAACAGGCUGCCGAGAAGCUAAGAAACCUGCCAGAAGAGCACUAUAAAACCAGAUAGAUCCAUGAAAACCAGAGCAAGAAAGGCAUUGAAUUGUAACAAACUGUGUGAAGGUUGGAAGACAUGUAUUUAAAAGAUUUGUUAUUUUAAAAAAAACAAAACAAACAGUCGCAUUUGCAAGAGACAAAAACCUCGUCUCAGAGUUACAUGGUUAAGUACCAUUUCCGACACAGGGCCGAAAGCUUUUUCUACAUGCACCGAUCAAAGGAAUAUGUGAAUAUUUUCUAUAUUCAGUACACAUGUACAAAAUUUGGUACUGGAUUUCUGACUGUAAUAAAGGACUUUAAAUAAAA